rnacentral:rRNA from 1 species
UACGUAGGGGGGCAAGCGUUGUCCGGAAUUAUUGGGCGUAAAGGGCGCGUAGGCGGCCUGCUAAGUCGAACGUGAAAUCCCCGAGCUCAACUCGGGGAACUGCGUCCGAUACUGGCAGGCUUGAAUCCGGGAGAGGGAUGCGGAAUUCCAGGUGUAGCGGUGAAAUGCGUAGAUAUCUGGAGGAACACCGGUGGCGAAGGCGGCAUCCUGGACCGGCAUUGAUGCUGAGGAGCGAAGCCAGGAGCAAGCGG